rnacentral:rRNA from 1 species
UACGAAGGGUGCAAGCGUUACUCGGAAUUACUGGGCGUAAAGCGUGCGUAGACGGUCACGUAAGUCGGGUGUGAAAGCCCCGGGCUCAACCUGGGAAUUGCAUUCGAGACUGCAUGGCUAGGGUGCGGAAGAGGGAAGCGGAAUUUCCGGUGUAGCGGUGAAAUGCGUAGAUAUCGGAAGGAACACCAGUGGCGAAAGCGGCUUCCUGGUCCAGCACCGACGUUCAGGCACGAAAGCGUGGGGAGCAAACAGG